CCACCACCAAGACCACCAGCAAGACCACCAGCAAGACCACCAGCAAGACCACACCACCAGCGAGACCAUCAGCAAGACCACCAGCAAGACCAUCAGCAAGACCACCACCAAGACCCUCAGCAAGACCAUCAGCAAGAUCACCAGCAAAAUUCUAAGAAAGAUCACCAGCAAGAUCGUUAGCGAGAUAGUCAGAUAGCUAAUCGCCGAGAAAGAUCACUUGGAUGAUGUUUAACAAGACAAUCCGCGAGAUCUUUACAAAUAUGUUUUGUAUGACGUACAAUGAGCGCUUAGCAAAGUCUUGAGCGAGACAGAGCAAGCGGAAUAAAAGAUUCUAAAAUAAUGUGUAUCUAUAUAUUUGUCUAUUUGAAAUUGCUUCUAUUCUGGUAAAACAUAAUUCAAUUAGUUUUCAAAUUUCUUUUUUUAAUCUGGGUUGCUCAUCAUAUAAUUAAAAAUCUGUAAUUUUUGUUUUGUCGAAUUUCCAAAAGCUUUAUUUUUAAUAAAAGCAUUAUUUUCCAUUAAUAAUUCUUUCUAUAAAAAGAGAAAAGAUAAAACAAAAUAUACGAAUAUAUUCUAUGUUGUAAUUGUGUGUUUUGUUUCUCUUUUGUGACAAAUCGAACUUUUUAAAUUAAAUAAAUAGUGUAUAACUUGAAGUUUACUGUUGCGGCGUUGCCAAACUUUUUUAUUAUUCUUUUUAAUUUUUUUUAAAUCUCAAAGCAUGUCUUUGAUUGGUCAAUUUAGAUUUUAAAUAACUCAAAAACUAUUGAGAAUUUUGAAAAAUGGCUAAGGAACUUUAUGCUCAGAAUCGUCUCCUCUAUUCAAAUUUUCCCGCUGUGAAGGUAAUUCUGAAUCACCCUGUAUAUAUAUAUAUAUAUAUAUUAAAUAAUAUGACAAUUUUUUAAUAUCAAUGUUAUUAAAUUUUUAUUCUGUCAACUAUCAAUCAAACUUAAAUCCCCAAUACUUAAAAAAUAUUCAAAGGUUUCGGCGGCAAUUUAAAAGUAUAAAUCGAUAUCGAUUGAUAUACGAAUAUUUAUAAGUUUAUAGAUAAAUUCAUCAUUAGGUGCAUUAUCUACGUAGGAUGUAUCAAUUUGAUUAUUUGAGUUAAGUAAUGCCAAAAACGUUUCUUAAUUGUAAGUGUAUAACAGACUAGAGGAUCAGACUACAAACCAUCGAUAACCAAAGUUAAACAGCAUCGACGUGGGACAUUAAUUGGACGGGUGACCUCGUAGUAAAAUAAUAGUCAAUGAUAUUCUAAAUGAGAUUCUAAAAAAGACUAUAUUCGUUCAUGCAUGAUUAUAUAUAAUCAUAUAUGAUCAUGUAUAAACAGAUCAAGUUAUGUAUGAUCAGACCUGGCCAAUUUUUGGAUCUGAUCAUAUAUAGACAAUUAUGCAUGACCAUAUAUAAUUAGACAAAAUCUUUUUUCAUCGGGUUUAUGCAGCCACAGCUGUGAUUGCAAUGUUUAUCAAUAUGCUUCCGGAAACAUUAAUGCAGUUAUUGCACUGCAACCGAUAAAAAAAAGUGACCAGAUUUGUAUCGGCUACGCGUCGUAUUAUCGAGAUGCACCAACUCAGAGACGACAGCUUUUGAUGGAAAAAAAUCAUUUUGGUGUGAAUGCAUUCCUUGUAGUAAUAAUUGGAACCUACAGUAUCGUCCACCGUCGCGUGUGGCGCAGCCAGUGGCGAUAAAAAAUAUGAAUAAAUUACUUCAAAUUAUGAAGAAAUAUAACGAAUAUCCACCGAUAGUUAAAUCAUAUCAAAAAUCAACCCGUGAUAAAUCUCCACGUGAUAUUUUAAAAACAAUUUCGGGAUUAUUGGAAUUGCUCAAUACUUAUGGCAAUUAUGUUAAUUACUGUACCGAAAUAGAACAUGCAAAAAAUUUAUUACUUAAUAUUUACAUGUGGAUUGCUGGAUACUAAUAAUUUUUUUUAACAUUUCCUUUAGCUUUAAAAAAAAAAAUUUUAUAAUUUUAAACUAUGGUAUAGUAGAAAUUA